GACGAACGCUGGCGGCGUGCCUAAUACAUGCAAGUUGAGCGAUGAAGAUUGGUGCUUGCACCAAUUUGAAGAGCAGCGAACGGGUGAGUAACGCGUGGGGAAUCUGCCUUUGAGCGGGGGACAACAUUUGGAAACGAAUGCUAAUACCGCAUAACAACUUUAAACAUAAGUUUUAAGUUUGAAAGAUGCAAUUGCAUCACUCAAAGAUGAUCCCGCGUUGUAUUAGCUAGUUGGUGAGGUAAAGGCUCACCAAGGCGAUGAUACAUAGCCGACCUGAGAGGGUGAUCGGCCACAGUGGGACUGAGACACGGCCCAAACGCCUACGGGAGGCAGCAGUAGGGAAUCUUCGGCAAUGGACGAAAGUCUGACCGAGCAACGCCGCGUGAGUGAAGAAGGUUUUCGGAUCGUAAAACUCUGUUGGUAGAGAAGAACGUUGGUGAGAGUGGAAAGCUCAUCAAGUGACGGUAACUACACAGAAAGGGACGGCUAACUACGUG
rnacentral:rRNA from 1 species